ACGCCUACGGGAGGCAGCAGUGGGGAAUAUUGGACAAUGGACCAAAAGUCUGAUCCAGCAAUUCUGUGUGUUUGAUGAAGGCCUUCGGUUGUAAGAACUUUCAGUGGGAAGAAGCAAGUGACGGUACCCACAGAAGAAGCGACGGCUAAAUACGUGCCAGCAGCCGCGGUAAUACGUAUGUCGCAAGCGUUAUCCGGAAUUAUUGGGCAUAAAGGGCGUCUAGGCGGUCUAAUAAGUCUGAUGUGAAAAUGCGGGGCUCAACUCCGUAUUGCGUUUGGAAACUGUUAGACUAGAGUUUUGGAGAGGUAGGCGGAACUACAAGUGUAGAGGUGAAAUUCGUAGAGAUUUGUAGGAAUGCCGAUGACGAAGGUAGCUUACUGGACAAAUACUGACGCUGAAGCGCG
rnacentral:rRNA from 1 species